AUUCAUUCCUCUGAGGACCCUCAAGUACUUCAGAAGAACUAAAAAAUGAAUAUCACGUUACACCAAAGAAGAAAUGAAAGCUGCCAGUGUCUUCUGAAGUUAAACAGGCUCCUGUUCUUUGACCCAGCAAUCCAAUCCUAGGAAUUUAAUUGUUCCCUGAGGCUUAAGGCAGUGGACUGAGGAUAAUACAGGCUCCAGCUUUCAUUAAUUCAAUGGAUGAUGCUGUUCAAUCCAUACUGUUUGGGGCAUUUGUUGAAAAUGUCAUUCAGAAGAUAUCAACACUUUCUGAGUCAUGGUUUGAUUGAAUUUAUAGAAUUAUGUGAUAGAAACCGCAUUCUUCACAAAAGUCACAAGGCAAUAAUGACGACAAGGGUUGAAAAUGAAAGAUACCAAAUAUUCUGAUCAAUUCAAUAAGGCAAAAAUACAAGUUAAUUCACUCAGUGCUCCAGGCAUCAACUUCAUAGAAGGAAUGGAAAUUCUACCUGUUUCCUAAAGAACUACAGAGGUGUACACCAAACAGAGGGCAAAUGCUGUUACCACUCAUUGUGCAAGACUUUUGAGGCAAUUUGGACAUAGACAAGUGAUGGGAAAAUUGAAUCAUUAUAUGGCUCAUGACAGUGUUGAAAACUCAAACAUCCAAGGACCUGUACCUUUGCUAAGUGCCAUGCAUAUGUUGCUGAUAAAGAUGCAAUAAAUACUCUUUUGUUAAA